rnacentral:rRNA from 1 species
AACGAACGCUGGCGGCAUGCCUAACACAUGCCAGUCGAACGAGACCUUCGGGUCUAGUGGCGCACGGGUGCGUAACGCGUGGGAACCUGCCCUUAGGUUCGGAAUAACUCCCCGAAAGGGGUGCUAAUACCGGAUAAUGUCUUCGGACCAAAGAUUUAUCGCCUUUGGAUGGGCCCGCGUUGGAUUAGCUAGUUGGUAGGGUAAAAGCCUACCAAGGCGACGAUCCAUAGCUGGUCUGAGAGGAUGCUCAGCCACACUGGGACUGAGACACGGCCCAGACUCCUACGGGAGGCAGCAGUGAGGAAUAUUGGACAAUGGGCGAAAGCCUGAUCCAGCAAUGCCGCGUGAGUGAUGAAGGCCUUAGGGUUGUAAAGCUCUUUUACCCGGGAUGAUAAUGACAGUACCGGGAGAAUAAGCUCCGGCUAACUCCGUG